rnacentral:rRNA from 1 species
AUGAACGCUAGCGACAGGCCUAACACAUGCAAGUCGAGGGGCAGCGCGGGAGAAGCUUGCUUUCCUGGCGGCGACCGGCGCACGGGUGCGUAACAGGUGUGCAAUCUGUCCAUAGUCGGGGAAUAGCCCAGCGAAAGUUGGAUUAAUGCUCCAUGUGAAUCGAGACCGCAUGAUUUUGAUUUGAAACGUAAGGACUAUGGGUGAGCACGCUUCUGAUUAGAUAGUUGGUGAGGUAACGGCUCACCAAGUCGACGAUCAGUAGGGGUUCUGAGAGGAAGGUCCCCACAUUGGAACUGAGACACGGUCCAAACUCCUACGGGAGGCAGCAGUGAGGAAUAUUGGUCAAUGGGCGAGAGCCUGAACCAGCCAAGUCGCGUGAAGGAAUGAAGGCUCUAUGGAUUGUAAACUUCUUUUGUCCGAGGGUAAAAAAGGUCACGUGUGACUUCUUGCAAGUAUCGGACGAAUAAGCAUCGGCUAACUCCGUGCCAGCAGCAGC